rnacentral:rRNA from 1 species
GAUGAACGCUGGCGGCGUGCCUAAUACAUGCAAGUCGAGCGAACGGACGAGAAGCUUGCUUCUCUGAUGUUAGCGGCGGACGGGUGAGUAACACGUGGAUAACCUACCUAUAAGACUGGGAUAACUUCGGGAAACCGGAGCUAAUACCGGAUAAUAUUUUGAACCGCAUGGUUCAAAAGUGAAAGACGGUCUUGCUGUCACUUAUAGAUGGAUCCGCGCUGCAUUAGCUAGUUGGUAAGGUAACGGCUUACCAAGGCAACGAUGCAUAGCCGACCUGAGAGGGUGAUCGGCCACACUGGAACUGAGACACGGUCCAGACUCCUACGGGAGGCAGCAGUAGGGAAUCCUCCGCAAUGGGCGAAAGCCUGACGGAGCAACGCCGCGUGAGUGAUGAAGGUCUUCGGAUCGUAAAACUCUGUUAUUAGGGAAGAACAUAUGUGUAAGUAACUGUGCACAUCUUGACGGUACCUAAUCAGAAAGCCACGGCUAACUACGUGCCAGCAGCCGCGGUAAUACGUAGGUGGCAAGCGUUAUCCGGAAUUAUUGGGCGUAAAGCGCGCGUAGGCGGUUUUUUAAGUCUGAUGUGAAAGCCCGCGGCUCAACCGUGGAGGGUCAUUGGAAACUGGAAAACUUGAGUGCAGAAGAGGAAAGUGGAAUUCCAUGUGUAGCGGUGAAAUGCGUAGAGAUAUGGAGGAACACCAGUGGCGAAGGCGACUUUCUGGUCUGUAACUGACGCUGAUGUGCGAAAGCGUGGGGAUCAAACAGGAUUAGAUACCCUGGUAGUCCACGCCGUAAACGAUGAGUGCUAAGUGUUAGGGGGUUUCCGCCCCUUAGUGCUGCAGCUAACGCAUUAAGCACUCCGCCUGGGGAGUACGACCGCAAGGUUGAAACUCAAAGGAAUUGACGGGGACCCGCACAAGCGGUGGAGCAUGUGGUUUAAUUCGAAGCAACGCGAAGAACCUUACCAAAUCUUGACAUCCUUUGACAACUCUAGAGAUAGAGCUUUCCCCUUCGGGGGACAAAGUGACAGGUGGUGCAUGGUUGUCGUCAGCUCGUGUCGUGAGAUGUUGGGUUAAGUCCCGCAACGAGCGCAACCCUUAAGCUUAGUUGCCAUCAUUAAGUUGGGCACUCUAAGUUGACUGCCGGUGACAAACCGGAGGAAGGUGGGGAUGACGUCAAAUCAUCAUGCCCCUUAUGAUUUGGGCUACACACGUGCUACAAUGGACAAUACAAAGGGCAGCGAAACCGCGAGGUCAAGCAAAUCCCAUAAAGUUGUUCUCAGUUCGGAUUGUAGUCUGCAACUCGACUACAUGAAGCUGGAAUCGCUAGUAAUCGUAGAUCAGCAUGCUACGGUGAAUACGUUCCCGGGUCU